UACGUAGGUGGCAAGCGUUAUCCGGAUUUAUUGGGUGUAAAGGGCGUGUAGGCGGGGGCGCAAGUCAGAUGUGAAAACUCAGGGCUCAACCCUGAGCCUGCAUUUGAAACUGUGUUUCUUGAGUGCUGGAGAGGCAAUCGGAAUUCCGUGUGUAGCGGUGAAAUGCGUAGAUAUACGGAGGAACACCAGUGGCGAAGGCGGAUUGCUGGACAGUAACUGACGCUGAGGCGCGAAAGCGUGGGGAGCAAACAGG
rnacentral:rRNA from 1 species